GCCGCCUUAGCUCAAUGGUAGAGCAAUCGCCCCGUAAGCGGUAGGUUCUCGGUUCAAUCCCGAGAGGCGGCU
rnacentral:tRNA from 1 species